GAUGAACGCUGGCGGCGUGCUUAACACAUGCAAGUCGAACGAAGAUAUUUAGAAUGAGAGCUUCGGCAGGAUUUCUUUACAUCUUAGUGGCGGACGGGUGAGUAACGUGUGGGCAACCUGCCCUGUACUGGGGAAUAAUCAUUGGAAACGGCUGCUAAUACCGCAUAAGCGCACAGAGCUGCAUGGCUCAGUGUGAAAAACUCCGGUGGUAUAAGAUGGACCCGCGUUGGAUUAGCUAGUUGGUGGGUAACGGCCCACCAAGGCGACGAUCCAUAGCCGGCCUGAGAGGGUGAACGGCCACAUUGGGACUGAGACACGGCCCAG
rnacentral:rRNA from 1 species